rnacentral:rRNA from 1 species
GCGUGCGCUUGGGCAGGUCGGCCGUCAUGGUCUGAACCGUUCAGGUCACGCUCCACCUGCAGGAUACUCACCGCUGUCCUUAACUGGGUGGCGGUAAAAGGCGGGGCGUCGGUGGGGGCAACUCUGUCGGCGUUUCGCUGGGGUUCCUGCUCAUUUACUUUGAGCAAAUUAGAGUGUUCAAAGCAGACAAUCGCGUCAUGUACACUUCAGCAUGGGAUAAUGGAACAGGACUGGGGUCCUGAUUUCGUUGGUUUCUGGGAUCUCAGUA